rnacentral:rRNA from 1 species
GAACGGACGAGAAGCUUGCUUCUCUGAUGUUAGCGGCGGACGGGUGAGUAACACGUGGAUAACCUACCUAUAAGACUGGGAUAACUUCGGGAAACCGGAGCUAAUACCGGAUAAUAUUUUGAACCGCAUGGUUCAAAAGUGAAAGACGGUCUUGCUGUCACUUAUAGAUGGAUCCGCGCUGCAUUAGCUAGUUGGUAAGGUAACGGCUUACCAAGGCAACGAUGCAUAGCCGACCUGAGAGGGUGAUCGGCCACACUGGAACUGAGACACGGUCCAGACUCCUACGGGAGGCAGCAGUAGGGAAUCUUCCGCAAUGGGCGAAAGCCUGACGGAGCAACGCCGCGUGAGUGAUGAAGGUCUUCGGAUCGUAAAACUCUGUUAUUAGGGAAGAACAUAUGUGUAAGUAACUGUGCACAUCUUGACGGUACCUAAUCAGAAAGCCACGGCUAACUACGUGCCAGCAGCCGCGGUAAUACGUAGGUGGCAAGCGUUAUCCGGAAUUAUUGGGCGUAAAGCGCGCGUAGGCGGUUUUUUAAGUCUGAUGUGAAAGCCCACGGCUCAACCGUGGAGGGUCAUUGGAAACUGGAAAACUUGAGUGCAGAAGAGGAAAGUGGAAUUCCAUGUGUAGCGGUGAAAUGCGCAAAGAUAUGGAGGAACACCAGUGGCGAAGGCGAUUUUCUGGUCUGUAACUGAGUGAUGUGCGAAAGGUGGGGAUCAAACAGGAUUAGAACCUGGUAGUCCGCGCGUAAACGAU